AACAGCUUUAUCGAGAUGAACAGGCGCCCCUGGUGGUGAUGGAACCACACACUGAAAUACAUUACUGGAGUUGGUCAACUUCUGGACAGGGAGUGGUUUGCUGGUGAGGACAUCCAGGGUGGUGGUCAUGUGGCUCAGAUUCAUGCUGUCCAACAGUCCGUAUCCAAUGCCCUGGUGGCCUAAUACCAGAAAAAUGUAAACGAGGAUUCAAAG
rnacentral:lncRNA from 1 species